rnacentral:rRNA from 1 species
GCUCAGGAUGAACGCUAGCUACAGGCUUAACACAUGCAAGUCGAGGGGCAGCAUGAAUAUUGGCUUGCCAAUAUUUGAUGGCGACCGGCGCACGGGUGAGUAACACGUAUCCAACCUUCCGGUUACUCGGGGAUAGGCUUUCGAAAGAAAGAUUAAUACCCGAUGUUGUGUAUCUUUCUCCUGAAAGAUACGCCAAAGGAUUCCGGUAACCGAUGGGGAUGCGUUCCAUUAGGCAGUUGGCGGGGUAACGGCCCACCAAACCUUCGAUGGAUAGGGGUUCUGAGAGGAAGGUCCCCCACAUUGGAACUGAGACACGGUCCAAACUCCUACGGGAGGCAGCAGUGAGGAAUAUUGGUCAAUGGACGGAAGUCUGAACCAGCCAAGUAGCGUGAAGGAUGACUGCCCUCUGGGUUGUAAACUUCUUUUAUACGGGAAUAACAUGAGGUACGCGUACCUUAUUGCAUGUACCGUUAUGAAUAAGCAUCGGCUAACUCCGUGCCAGCAGCCGCGGUAAUACGGAGGAUGCGAGCGUUAUCCGGAUUUAUUGGGUUUAAAGGGAGCGUAGGUGGGAUAUUAAGUCAGCUGUGAAAGUUUGGGGCUCAACCUUAAAAUUGCAGUUGAUACUGGUUUCCUUGAGUACGGUACAGGUGGGCGGAAUUCGUGGUGUAGCGGUGAAAUGCUUAGAUAUCACGAAGAACUCCGAUCGCGAAGGCAGCUCACCGGGCCGGAACUGACACUGAUGCUCGAAAGUGCGGGUAUCAAACAGGAUUAGAUACCCUGGUAGUCCGCACAGUAAACGAUGAAUACUCGCUGUUUGCGAUACACAGUAAGCGGCCAAGCGAAAGCGUUAAGUAUUCCACCUGGGGAGUACGCCGGCAACGGUGAAACUCAAAGGAAUUGACGGGGGCCCGCACAAGCGGAGGAACAUGUGGUUUAAUUCGAUGAUACGCGAGGAACCUUACCCGGGCUUAAAUUGCGCUGGCUUUUACCGGAAACGGUAUUUUCUUCGGACCAGCGUGAAGGUGCUGCAUGGUUGUCGUCAGCUCGUGCCGUGAGGUGUCGGCUUAAGUGCCAUAACGAGCGCAACCCUUAUCUUUAGUUACUAACAGUUUUGCUGAGGACUCUAAAGAGACUGCCGUCGUAAGAUGCGAGGAAGGUGGGGAUGACGUCAAAUCAGCACGGCCCUUACGUCCGGGGCUACACACGUGUUACAAUGGGGAGCACAGCAGGUUGCUACACGGCGACGUGAUGCCAAUCCGUAAAACUCCUCUCAGUUCGGAUCGAAGUCUGCAACCCGACUUCGUGAAGCUGGAUUCGCUAGUAAUCGCGCAUCAGCCACGGCGCGGUGAAUACGUUCCCGGGCCUUGUACACACCGCCCGUCAAGCCAUGAAAGCCGGGGGUACCUGAAGUACGUAACCGCGAGGAUCGUCCUAGGGUAAACCUGGUGAUUGGGGCUAAGUCGUAACAAGGUAACC